CGCAAUGGGCGCAAGCCUGACGGAGCAAUACCGCGUGAGGGAGGAAGGCUCUUGGGUCGUAAACCUCUUUUAUCAGGGAAGAACACAAUGACGGUACCUGAUGAAUCAGCAUCGGCUAACUCUGUGCCAGCAGCCGCGGUAAUACAGAGGAUGCAAGCGUUAUCCGGAAUUAUUGGGCGUAAAGCGUCCGCAGGUGGUUUUGGUAGUCUGCUGUCAAAGCGCGAGGCUCAACUUCGUAUCGGCGGUGGAAACUCCAAGACUAGAGUUUGGUAGGGGUCACGGGAAUUCCCAGUGUAGCGGUGAAAUGCGUAGAUAUUGGGAAGAACACCAGCGGCGAAAGCGCGUGACUGGGCCUGAACUGACACUCAUGGACGAAAGCUAGGGGAGCGAAAGGGAUUA
rnacentral:rRNA from 1 species